rnacentral:rRNA from 1 species
UCCAGACUCCUACGGGAGGCAGCAGUGGGGAAUAUUGCACAAUGGGGGAAACCCUGAUGCAGCGACGCCGCGUGAGUGAAGAAGUAUCUCGGUACGUAAAGCUCUAUCAGCAGGGAAGAUAAUGACGGUACCUGACCAAGAAGCCCCGGCUAAAUACGUGCCAGCAGCCGCGGUAAUACGUAUGGGGCAAGCGUUAUCCGGAUUUACUGGGUGUAAAGGGAGCGUAGGCGGCCUGGCAAGCCUGAUGUGAAAUACCGGGGCCCAACCCCGGGGCUGCAUUGGGAACUGCCAGGCUGGAGUGCCGGAGAGGCAGGCGGAAUUCCUAGUGUAGCGGUGAAAUGCGUAGAUAUUAGGAGGAACACCAGUGGCGAAGGCGGCCUGCUGGACGGUGACUGACGCUGAGGCUCGAAAGCGUGGGGAGCAAACAGGAUUAGAUCCCCCCGUA